AAGGGGGCUGAGUCAUUUGUAUUCCUGCCUUGUCUUGCUAAUGAAAUAUUGCUGCUGAACUUUACCCUGCCUUUCCUGUUACCUUUUUUUUUUUUUUCUUUUUGCAAUGGUUACCUUUUAAGAGGCUCAUAAAAUUGCGUUACAAAAAUUUAUGACUGUGCAGUGAAUGUGUGCAAGUGUAUUAAUUCUCUUCAAGGCCAGUGUCUCGUAGCUGUAAAAUUAAUGUUAUGGUGUGAUUUCUAGUACGGCUAAUUGCUAUUCAGUAAAGCAGCACUCUGUGUUUUCUCACCUUAUGGCACUUAAUUCCUUCAAACAGCCUUUCCACGGGGAGUUUCCCAGGUAACUGUCAACAAAGGAUAUCUGCACAGUACCUCUAUAUUGGAUAUUAGGAGAAAUUUCUCGGAGUGGCGGUGCAGUGGCUCAGGCUGCCCAUGGAGGUGGUGGAGUCACCAACCCUGGAGGUGCUCAAGGAAUGUGUAGAUGUGGCACUGAGGAACAUGGAACCUCUGCUGACCUUGAGGCACAAGCUCACAGGUGGACGAAAUCUACCUCCUACAGCUCCGUUCUGUCGAUUAGGAGGGUGAAAAUGAUUAAGAAGGAGCCCAUGUUUGUGCCGCUGGUGAGAGAUGGAUGGGUCAGAUUACUCCACCCCACCCACUGCAUCAGCAUAUGUCCUUGCCAUUGCUGUCCCCCAUUUCUGCCUGCCCUGUCUGCUUCCUGCUGGAAACCCGUCUGCAGAGCAGAAGGGCUGAGAUAACAACCAGCUGUGAGCGAGGCUGUCUGUGCUCAGCUCUUGGUGGUCCGGUGCGUCAGGAGAGGACUGGCUUGCUGGGAGGAUGGGGAAAGCAUCGUGAGUGGGGGGGGGGAACCACCUGGCCACGUUGGCUCUUGCUUUGGACCGAGG
ensembl:lncRNA